rnacentral:rRNA from 1 species
ACGCUCGACACCUACGGCAGGCAGCAGUUGGGAAUAUUGGACAAUGGAGGAAACUCUGAUCCAGUGACGCCGCGUGAAGGAAGAAGGUCUUCGGAUUGUAAACUUAUUUUGUCAGGGAAGAAAAAUGACUGUACCUGAAGAAAAAGCACCGGCUAACUACGUGCCAGGAGCCGCGGUAAUCUGAGCGGGCUGGCAAGGC